CAAGAUGAAGCGCAUGACCGGGGUCAAGAGCAAGGAGCUCCUCAUCUGGAUCACCCUCUGCGACAUGUACAUCGACAAGGAUGACCCCUCCAAGAUCACCUUCAAGACGGCCACCGGGCUCGGCAGGACCUUCCCCGUCUCCGCCUUCGGGAAAGAGGACUGCAAGGAGGCCGCGGUGGGCAAGUAAGUGAGGACGGACGGCAUAUAUACUCUACAAAGUUGGAUGAAGAUUGAAGAGUGUUCAAGUUCAAUUUAUAAGUACCUCGGUCUGGGUUUAUUAGCCCUAUUGUAUUUUGGGUCAACAUUUGACCAUUGAUUUACUUACCAAAAAAUAAGUUAUACUGUUUAUCAUAAAAUAGUAUCAUCGGAAGCUUCUUUCGAAUAAGAAUUCAACAAUAUAAUUUUUGUGACAUAUAACUUGUAUUUUGUUUGUCAAUUCUAUAGUCUAAAUAAGACACAAAAUACAAGAGAGACCAACAAACCCGGACGAAGUACAAAAUUACGAAGUAAUUUAUGAAUGUAAAUCAUUAUAUAAUGUGCUAUUUAGAUGAACACCAUUCAUUUGAAUAUUAUUACCUCUGUCCUAAAUUAGUUGUCUUAAAUUUGUCUAGAUACGAAUGUGUUGACAUGUUUUAGUGUUAGAUAUAUUUGUAUCUAAAUAAAUCUAAGACAAUUUGGAACGGAGGAAGUAUCUUUUUUGUCUAGGUCCCAAAUGGUUAUAUUAUUGAUUUAUUUUUUACAAGUGCACAUUACACAUCAUUGCUAACAUCCAUGAAUUAUUUCAUAUAUUUAGAAAUCGGGAAAAAAAGAGAGAGAGUAUGGGUUGUACCCGAUCUAAUUUUUGAAAAAAGGCCUCUUAGGGCAUCUUUAAUACCGUGCUGCAAAACGCCCGCAAAUGUUCAAACCGGCUUGUUCAGAUGAUUUUUGUCAUCCAACAUAGUGUCGCAUACGUUCGCGGACACAUCCACGUGUCCCAAUUCCCGCAAACCCGAUACAAAGUUAGGGGGGGUUUGCGGGAUUCCGGACCUCCUCUACGUAGAACUCCGACAACUUCGGCCGACCCGAAACCCCACUCAGAGCCCAUGCAUUUGGCCACAUCUGCACCAGUUCCGUGACAAACCCCGCAUAUUCCCACCCUUUUAGUCAAUCGUUAUCGCCCUCCACCCUUGUUCCCACCCUUACUCCGCCUAACUGCCACAUAUAUUUGUUCGUACCAUUGUCGGAGCUGGAGGAGGAUCCAUAUGUGGUGGCCACCCGAGAGAUCAACUCAGCGAACCGCAACAUGCGUCGUCACGUCUAGAGGAGCAAUGAGAAAGUGGCUUUGGUGGCCGGCCACCCAUCACCUCCUAAGAAGGAUAGUGGUCCGGGGUGGGGCAAGGAGCCAAGCGGGCAUGUGGUCCGUUGUCGCCACCUCCGAUGCACUCGCUGACCUGACCAAUGAAGAUGCAGCCACUGUUCAACUACGCCGCAGCGUAGCUCGGUCAAUAUCACCCAUCCCCGAUCACUUCCGCAACUUCCGUGCCAUGGUACGUCGACCUGAACGCUCCCAUCCACUUCCGUGAGUCGACAUCGGUGCAACUUAUCCGGUUGCGGACGCCAGGCGUGGAUCCAUUGGGCACCCUCUCUCUAUUCACCGAUAGGUCUCAACUGGGCAUGACACCGGCGGAUCACAGAGGGAUGUUGGACAUCAUCCAUGACAGAUGUGGCUUCAAGGAUGGACAAGUUGAUGAUUCCUAGUCGAAGACGUACACGGAGCAGUCGUGUACACUCAACAGUCGGGUAUGUACAACAAGCAGCCAGGAACGUACACCCAAUAGCCAUACUCGUACGCCGAGCAGACGUGCCUUGAUCUAGACGAUUGGUUGGCCGGUGGCAACCCAAAGAAGAUGGGGAGCAGAGAAAGUUUUAAUUUGAGGGAGGUUGAAUUGUUGCGUGAUGCUUGCUUGGCCACUAGUGUCGAUCCGUUUUAAGGAAUGGAACAAAGGGGCUCAACAUUUUGGUCCAAUGUACAAGAACUUUGAUCCCUACCGUAUGGAAGUGGCACGAGACCGUUUGCCAAAGUCGGUCACCUAUCAUUACACCAUCCAAAAGUCUGUGAGCAAGUAUUGCGGCCAUCUUAAUACAUUCAUAAACCGGUGGCCAACUAGUGCGAUAAUAUCCGAGCAAGUAACACUACUAAGGAAAAAUCUAGCAAUACUGCGGGUUAGAUGUAUAUCAGUAGCGCGGGUGGCAACGCUACUGAUAAGGCGCCACAGCUAACUUUCAUCAGUAGCGCGUUUUGACCCGCGCUACUGCUGACUUACUUAGUAGUAGCGUUCCUUCACAAACGCGCUACUGCUAAUAGCAGCAACGCCUCUAUAAUCGCGCUACUGCUAACUUUUCCUGUAUUUUUUAUGCAGCAUAUUGGCGCUGUAUUUGUACAGUUUUGGUACAGUAGUCUCAUAAUAUGAUUUUAUGAUCAUGAUGAGUUAUUAUAUAUAUACGGUAGUCUCUUCACUCACUGAUAUAUAUAAUAACUCAUCAUGCUCAUAUAACAACUAAGCAUCAUCAUCAUUAAUAAUAACUCUUCAUCAUUAUCAUAAUAAAAAGUCAUACUCAUCAUCAUCAUAGUCAUCUAACAACUUCUACUCGCUAUCAUAAUAACAAGUCAUACUCAUCAUCAUCAUAGUCAUCUAACCAACCCUACUUAAUUGUUCUUAGCACAUGAUCAUGAGUAUUAGCUAGGACCUACUACCCUCUCUAAGGUAAAAUAGUAUAAAACAAGAUAGCCCCUGACAUUUCAUUAUGGACAAUGGAGAUUAUCUUGUCUCCAAUUCUUGCGCUUCACACAAUGUUGCUUCCAAGUAGCUCUCUAUGAUUGUUCAUACAUCUUUUUAUUCUUUGAUUGUCAUGUCUUCAUCGGUUUUAGAAAUCCGGUAUGAACAACAGUGAAGCCUAGGCGGACUUGGCCGUAAGGUAAUAACAUCAAGGCGACUUUUCGGAAACAUCAGAUCAGGCACACAAUCCUUCGGGAUUUUUUGUUCAAAAACAUAAUAAUAACAUAGUAGUUAGCAAUGUAGUUGAGCUAUAUAAGAAUGUAUGCAAAAGAUGCACAAAUGUUGUAAUAGUAAAAAAAUCUUACCAUGCCAUCUCCCUGGAUGUUACCGUCGUUCAACACGUGCACUAGUGACACAUAUUGACCAUAAUGUGUAGGAGUUUCAUAACUGAUAUUGUAAUUCUCAACAUCAAUAAUAAAUGAGAUAAGAUGAUCUUUCUCCACAUAAGUUAAUUCAGAGCCAUCGGUGUAGUAGGUUCUGUCUACCAUCUUUCGCACAUUUUUUGAAGAAUGAAAAUAUGCUGUCAACUAUUUUGAAAUAAACAAUAUAAAUUACUUAAUAAAUAUGUUUGAGAAAAUCACAUAGAGGUAGAAGUGGAAGAGUAUCAACAAGGACCCAAAUGUCGAUAUUCUCUUCGUCGAUGUCAUCUUCAGGAUCACUAAGAUCGAAGGCGACAAGCAUACCCUCCUGAAAACCAUACGCCUUGCACAGUGCCUCCCAAUUCGAGCAACCAAAAUGGGAUACGCUCUCCGUAUUGUAUAGCUUUACGGCAAAAGCAUAACCAUGAUGGGUCCUGAGGUGAACUAUCUUUGUCUCCCUAUUCUCAUGAUCUUUGAAAUUUAGCUUCUCCAAGACAUAGCGUCUUGCAUGGCAUGGGAUAAGCUAGUCAAAUUGUAAAAGACGGAAAUUACAUGUUGAAAACGCAGAAGUCAUGCUUAAUUACGAAAAAAGACUUGUCGUCGUUGCGUACUAUUUUAACAUCGAAGGUCUCGUCGAGCUUAAUACUGAAGUGCCGACCGUCUACCAGGUUAGGCCUGUCGCACAGACCCCGGUCGUUGCCGCUGUAGUCGCACUCCGGGAUCCUAUCGUCAUCGUCAGACAUUUUCUAUGUUCAUAAUUCAAAUAUUAAACAUCUAAAAUUCAAUAUAUGUACUACAAAAACUAAAUUAGAUCAUUAUUAUUCAUCACGAGUUAACUAUCGGUCUGUCGAGUCUUUUCUUAAAAACUCUCAGCUCACGUGGUGUAUAUAUCUCAGUUCACGUGGUGUAUAUAUUAGACCGUCCGUGAUGAUCGCUCCUCCCUUCGUCCCCAAGUGCAUUACACCAAAAUGUCUAGCACACGGGAACGAGGGAGAAGCGACCCCCACGACAACAGUUGAGAUUCUUCCUCUCUGACAUUUGCGACCGUUGGUGAUGGUCGCUCUUCUCUUUUUUUCCGUGCAUUACCAAAAGGUCUAUUGAUGUCUACUACACAACCUUCUUCUUGUAGACGUUGUUGGGCCUCCAAGUGCAGAGGUUUGUAGGACAGUAGCAAAUUUCCCUCGAGUGGAUGACCUAAGAUUUAUCAAUCCGUAAGAGGCGUAGGAUGAAGAUGGUCUCUCUCAAGCAACCCUGCAACCAAAUAACAAAGAGUCUCUUGUGUCCCCAACACACCCAAUACAAUAGUAAAUUGUAUAGGUGUCCUAGUUCGGCGAAGAGAUGCUGAUACAAGUGGUAUAUGGAUGGUAGAUAAAGGUUUUUGAAAUCUGAAAAUAUAAAAACAGAAAGGUAACUAAUGAUAAAAGUGAGCGUAAACGGUAUUGCAAUGCCUUGAAACAAGGCCUAGGGUUCAUACUUUCACUAGUGCAAGUCCUCUCAACAAUAAUAACAUAAUUGGAUCACAUAACUAUCCCUCAACAUGCAACAAAGAGUCACUCCAAAGUAACUAAUAGCGGAGAACGAACGAAGAGAUUAUGGUAGGGUACGAAACCACCUCAAAGUUAUUCUUUCCAAUCAAUCCGUUGGGCCAUUCCUAUAAGUGUCACAAACAGCCCUAGAGUUCGUACUAGAAUAACACCUUAAGACACAAAUCAACCAAAACCCUAAUGUCAGCUAGAUACUCCAAUGUCACCUCAAGUAUCCAUGGGUAUGAUUAUACGAUAUGCAUCACACAAUCUCAGAUUCAUCUAUUCAACCAACACAUAGAACCUCAAAGAGUGUCCCAAAGUUUCUACCGGAGAGUCAAGAUGAUAAGUCUGCCAACCCCUAUGCAUAGAUUCAUGGGCAGAACCCGCAAGUUGAUCACCAAAACAUACAUCAAGUGGAUCAAUAGAAUACCCCAUUGUCACCACGGGUAUCCCACGCAAGACAUACAUCAAGUGUUCUCAAAUCCUUAAAGACUCAAUCCGAUAAGAUAACUUCAAAGGGAAAACUCAAUCCAUCACAAGAGAGUAGAGGGGGAGAAACAUAAUAAGAUCCAACUAUAAUAGCAAAGCUCGCGAUACAUCAAGAUCAUAUCACCUCAAGAACACGAGAGAGAGAGAGAGAGAGAGAGAUCAAACACAUAGCUAUUGGUACAUACCCUCAGCCCCGAGGGAGAACUACUCCCUCCUCGUCAUGGAGAGCGCCGGGAUGAUGAAGAUGGCCACCGGAGAGGGAUUCCCCCCUCCGGCAGGGUGCCGGAACGGGUCUAGAUUGGUUUUCGAUGGCUACGGAGGCUUCUGGCGGUGGAACUCCCGAUCUAUUGUGCUCUCCGAAGUUUUUAGGGUAUAUGGGUAUAUAUGGGAGGAAGAAGUAUGUCGGUGGACCUCCGGCUAUCCACGAGGCAGGUGGGCGCGCCCAGGGGGGUGGGCGCGCCCCCACCCUCAUGGGCAGCCCGGGACUCUCCUGGUUCAACUCCGAUACUCCAUGGGCUUCUUCUGCUCCAAAAAUAAGUUUCGUGAAGUUUCAGGUCAAUUGGACUCCGUUUGAUUUUCCUUUUCUACGAUACUCUAAAACAAGGAAAAACAGAAUCUGGCACUGGGCUCUGGGUUAAUAGGUUAGUCCCAAAAAUCAUAUAAAAUAGCAUAUAAAUGUAUAUAAAACAUCCAAGGUUGAUAAUAUAAUAGCAUGGAACAAUCAAAAAUUAUAGAUACGUUGGAGACGUAUCAGCAUCCCCAAGCUUAAUUCCUGCUCGUCCUCGAGUAGGUAAAUGAUAAAAACAGAAUUUUUGAUGUGAAUGCUACCUAACAUAUUUCUCUAAGUAAUUCUCGUCAUUUUGGCAUGAAUGUUCAUAUCCAUAAGAUUCAAGACAAAAGUUUAAUAUUGACAUAAAAAUAAUAAUACUUCAAGCAUACUAACUAAGAAAUCAUGUCUUCUCAAAUAACAUGGCCAAAGAAAGUUCAUCCCUACAAAAUCAUAUAAUUUGGUCAUGCUCCAUUUUCGUCACACAAGAAUGCUCUCAUCAUGCACAACCCCGAUGACAAGCCAAGCACUUGUUUCAUACUUUAGUGAUCUCAAACUUUUUUCAACUUUCACGCAAUACAUGAGCGUGAGCCAUGGAUAUAGCACUAUGGGUGGAAUAGAAUAUAAUGAGGGGGUUAUGUGGAGAAGGCAAAAAUAAGAAAGUCUCACAUCGACGCGGCUAAUCAAUGGGCUAGGGAGAUGCCCAUCAAUUGAUGUCAAUGCAAGGAGUAGGGAUUGCCAUGCAACGGAUGCACUAGAGCUAUAAAUGUAUGAAAGCUCAACAAAAGAAACUAAGUGGGUGUGCAUCCAACUUGCUUGCUCACGAAGACAUAGGGCACUUGAGGAGGCCCAUUGUUGGAAUAUACAAGCCAAGUUCUAUAAUGAAAAUUUCCCACUAGUAUAUGAAAGUGACAAAACAAGAGACUCUCUAUCAUGAAGAUCAUGGUGCUACUUUGAAGCACAAGUGUGGAAAAAAAGGAUAGUAGCAUUGUCCCUUUUUUUAUUUUUUUAUUUUUAUUUGGCCUUUUUUUGGCCUUUCUUUUUUAUUUGGCCUUUCUCUUUUUUGGCCUUUUUUGGGACAAUCCUCUUUUAAUGAUGAUCAUCCCACUUUUAUUUAUUUACAACUCAAUUAUUACAACUCGAUACUAGAACAAAGCAUGACUCUAUAUGAAUGCCUCCGGCGGUGUACCGGGAUUGCAAUGAAUCAAGUGUGACAUGUAUGAAAAAUUGGUGGCUUUGCCACAAAUACGAUGUCAACUACAUGAUCAUGCAAAGCAAUAUGACAAUGAUGACGCGUGUCAUAAUAAACGGAAUGGUGGAAAGUUGCAUGGCAAUAUAUCUCGGAAUGGCUAUGGAAAUGCCACAAUAGGUAGGUAUGGUGGCUGUUUUGAGGAAGAUAUAAGGAGGUUUAUAUGUGACAGAGCGUAUCAUAUCACGGGGUUUGGAUGCACCGGCGAAGUUUGCACCAACUCUCAAUGUGAGAAAGGGCAAUGCACGGUACCGAAGAGGCUAGCAAUGAUGGAAGGUAAGAGUGCGUAUAAUCCAUGGACUCAACAUUAGUCAUAAAGAACUCACAUACUUAUUGCAAAAAUCUACAAGUCAUCAAAAACCAAGCAUUACGCGCAUGCUCCUAGGGGGUAUAUUGGUAGGAAAAGACCAUCGCUCGUCCCCGGCCGGCACGCAUAAGGAAGACAAUCAAAUAACACCUCAUGAUUCAAAUUUGUUACACAACGUUUACCAUACGUGCAUGCUACGGGACUUGCAAACUUCAACACAAGUAUUCCUCAAAUUCACAACUACCCAACUAGCACAACUUUGAUAUCACUAUCUCCAUAUCUCAAAACAAUUAUCAAGUAUCAAACUUCUCUUAGUAUUCAAUGCACUUACAUGAAAGUUUUUAUUAUAUCCCUCUUGGAUGCCCAUCAUAUUAGGACUAAAUUCAUAGCCAAAGCAAAUUACCAUGAUGUUUAGGACUCUCAAAAUAAUAUAAGUGAAGCAUGAGAGAUCAAUUAUUUCUAUAGAAUAAAACCACCACCUUGCUCUAAAAAGAUAUAAGUGAAGCACUAGAGCAAAUGAAAAACUACUCCGAAAGAUAUAAGUGAAGAUCAAUGACUAGUCGAACAAUUAUGCAACUAUACGAAGACUCUCUAACAUUUAAUAAUUUCAGAUCUUGGUAUUUUAUUCAAAUAGAAAGAAAAACAAAAUAAAAUAAGAUGACGCUCCAAGCAAAACACAUAUCAUGUGGCGAAUAAAAAUAUAGCUCCAACUAAAGUUACCGAUGAACGAAGACGAAAGAGGGGAUACCUUCCGGGGCAUCCCCAAGCUUAGGCUUUUGGUUGUCCUUGAAUAUUACCUUGGGAUGCCUUGGGCAUCCCAAGUUUAGGCUCUUGCCACUCCUUAUUCCAUAAUCCAUCGAAUCUUUACCCAAAACUUGAAAACUUCACAACACAAAACUUAACAGAAAACUCAUAAGCUCCGUUAGCGAAAGAAAACAAAACACCACUUCAAGGUACUAUAAUAAACUCAUUCUUUAUUUAUAUUGGUGUUAAACCUACUGUAUUCCAACUUCUCUAUGGUUUAUAAAUUCUUUUGCUAGCCAUAGAUUCAUCAAAAUAAGUAAACAACACAUGAAAAACAGAAUCUGUCAAAAAUAGAACAGUCUGUAGUAAUCUGUAACUAACGCAAACUUCUGGAACCCCAAAAAUUCUAAAAUAAAUUACUGGACGUGAGGAAUUUAUCUGCUAAUCAUCUUAAAAAAAUAAUUAACUAAAUAUCAGUCUCCAAAUAAAAAUGUCAGUAAUUCUCGUGAGCGCUAAAGUUUCUGUUUUUUAGAGCAAGAUUAAAAAGACUUUCCCCAAGUCUUCCUAACGGUUCUACUUGGCACAAACACUAACUAAAACAGAAAAACUCAAUCAUAACAUACGCUAGAUAAAUUAUUUAUUACUAAACAGGUGCAAAAAGCAAGGAACAAAAAUAAAAUUGGGUUGCCUCCCAACAAGCGCUAUCGUUUAAUGCCCCUAGCUAGGCAUGAUGAUUUCGAUGAUGCUCACAUAAAAGAUAAGAAUUGUAACAUAAAGAGGGCAUCAUGAAGAAUAUGACUAGCACAUUUAAGCCUAACCCACUUCCUAUACAUAGGGAUUUUGUGAGCAAACAACUUAUGGGAACAAGAAUCAACUUGCAUAGGAAGGCAAAACAAGCAUAACUUCAGGAUUUUAAGCACAUAGAGGGGAAACUUGAUAUUAUUGCAAUUCCUACAAGCAUAUAUUCCUCCCUCAUAAUAAUUUUCAGUAGCAUCAUGAAUGAAUUCAACAAUAUAACUAUCACAUAAAGCACUAUUCUCAUGAUGCACAAGCAUAGAAUUUUUAUUACUCUCCACAUAAGCAAACUUCUUCUCAUGAAUAGUAGUGGGAGAAAACUCAACAAAAUAACUAUCAUAUGAGGCAUAAUCCAAUUGAAAACUAAAAUCAUGAUGACAAGUUUCAUGAUUAUCAUUAAUCUUUAUAGCAUACAUGUCAUCACAAUAAUCAUCAUAGGUAGAAACUUUGUUCUCAUAAUCAAUUGGAACCUCUUCCAAAAUAGUGGAUUCAUCACAGAAUAAAGUCAUGACCUCUCCAAAUCCACUUUCAGCAAUAUAAUCAUCAUAAAUAGGAGGCAUGCUUUCAUCAUAAUAAACUAGCAAUGUGACCCGCGCAUUUGCGCGGCUAGAUAUAGCACAUAUUUAGUUAUUUAACUGUAUUUCUCUUUUGGAUAUUUUGACAACUAUCACUCAAAAUAUGACUAACAUUUAUGCUUUGUUUAUUUUAUUGUGUUGUUAUGUAGCAUUGGGGCCUUUCGAUCACGUUGUCAAUCAUGAACUUUUGGACUAAUUACGGCUUCUAUAACUAUAUUUCCACUCAUAAAUUGCAUAAUGAUCUGUUUGUAUGGAUCAAAAUAAAAAGUGAGAGCUCAUACUUGAGGUUAGUUGAUGCCUUCAUCCAGCUGCCUUCUCAUUGACUAUAUACGGAUGGUGUUUUGGGCCGUUGUAAGAAAACUUAUCUUACUCUUGCUGGGUUUGCGAAAAUAUAAACAUUAUCUCUCCCUCUCCACUAUCACUAUGCCUCCAUAUAGUAUUUUCCCGAAGGGCAUCGGUAGGUUAUUCACUCUCCUAUAUUUCUUCACAAAAAUGGAAUGGCUCAUUAUACACUUGACAUGGUUUUCCACUGUCAAUUUUUUGUAAAACCUUAAUUACUCCCAUCGUAGCUUCCCAUUAGAGCCGUGAUCGCAUCUCCCACUAUUGCACUUACCCAUGCAUAGAAGGUGCUAAUGACAUCCCCCUCUAUGUCGUCGGCAACGAUUCUUUUUUUAAAGACAUUGACAACAAUGGUGUGAAUCCAUGGAUCAUAUUAUUUUGUGGAUCGGAUUUCACUUGAAUGUAUAUUGUUCCCUUGCAAAUUAAUUAUCAGCACAUACAUGAUCCUAGCUUAUUUGGGUGGAUGAGCGGCUGCGAAAUCUAACUGCCUGUGUCACAUUUCUUGUGCAUUAUUUCAUGAUGGUGUGCAUGUAUGUACUUGCAUAUUUGAAGAUAUUGUAACUGUCUAUAUAUAGUCAAUUUUCUUAGAGAGCAUAUAUAAUGAGUACAGUUUCGGAAGACGGUCAACACGUUUAUAUGGGUCAUCUCAAAAAAUUAGGAUAUUUCAAGAAAUAUAUAUGUUAGUCUCUCGAAUCCUUUUACAUUAAGCCUUAAAAGAGUUUACAUUAAAUUCCAUAAUAAUGCAAAAAAGAUUACGUGUUUGACCACAAAGGAAAGCAGGCCAUUGCAUGACUCAGUAUGAUAGUUUCCAAUCUCCGUGUAUUGUAGGUGGAGCUGCUAUAUCUCAAAGUCUGUGCAAACAAAAAGAGGAAUUAGAUGUCUCACACACUUGAUCUGAUCUUUUUUUCUAUGAAAUUACCUUUUUUAGGAAGAUGUCUCAUGCAUUAGUAAUAGUCUGCGACUUCUCGUUUUUUAAUUUCAUUUUGUUUUCAAGUCGUGACAUGCAUGGCGUAUAUGGCAAUCGCUUGUAUAAAGUGUUAAGCUAGAUGACUUGUACACCUUUCUAUGAAGACAACUUGUACACAGUUCAUUUAGUGGUGUUUUCUCUUUUCUCGAAUCUAUUGUGUCCGAUUGAUGCACACGUUCAGUCCCUCCCUCAUAAACGUGUUAGGCUCAUACACAGUUUAUUACGCCUCCCUGUAUGUGUCUAAUGAUUUUUUUCCUUCCAAAAUUUGUCCGCCCUCUGUUUGAUAACGUACAUGUCUAGGAGAGAAUCCUAUACUUUUUUAUUUAUUUUUGAGACGGGUGUCGGACUUCAAGGUACUAUAAUGAACUCAUUCUUUAUUUAUAUUGGUGUUAAACCUACUGUAUUCCAAUUUCUCUAUGGUUUAUAAAUUCUUUUACUAGCCAUAGAUUCAUCAAAAUAAGUAAACAACAUAUGAAAAACAGAAUCUGUUAAAAAUAGAACAGUCUGUAGUAAUCUGUAACUAACGCAAACUUCUGGAACCCCAAAAAUUCUAAAAUAAAUUACUGGACGUGAGGAAUUUAUCUACUAAUCAUCUUAAAAAAAUAAUUAACUAAAUAUCAGUCUCCAAAUAAAAAUGUCAGCAAUUCUCAUGAGCGCUAAAGUUUCUGUUUUUUAGAGCAAGAUUAAAAAGACUUUUCCCAAGUCUUCCUAACGGUUCUACUUGGCACAAACACUAAUUAAAACAUAAAAACUCAAUCAUAACAUACGCUAGAUAAAUUAUUUAUUACUAAACAGGUGCAAAAAGCAAGGAACAAAAAUAAAAUUGGGUUGUCUCCCAACAAGCGCUAUCGUUUAACGCCCCUAGCUAGGCAUGAUGAUUUCGAUGAUGCUCACAUAAAAGAUAAGAAUUGUAACAUAAAGAGGGCAUCAUGAAGAAUAUGACUAGCACAUUUAAGCCUAACCCACUUCUUAUACAUAGGGAUUUUGUGAGCAAACAACUUAUGGGAACAAGAAUCAACUUGCAUAGGAAGGCAAAACAAGCAUAACUUCAGGAUUUUAAGCACAUAGAGGGGAAACUUGAUAUUAUUGCAAUUCCUACAAGCAUAUAUUCCUCCCUCACAAUAAUUUUCAGUAGCAUCAUUAAUGAAUUCAACAAUAUAAUUAUCACACAAAGAACUAUUCUCAUGAUGCAUAAGCAUAGAAUUUUUAUUACUCUCCACAUAAGCAAACUUCUUCUCAUGAAUAGUAGUGGGAGAAAACUCAACAAAAUAACUAUCAUGUGAGGCAUAAUCCAAUUGAAAACUAAAAUCAUGAUGACAAGUUUCAUGAUUAUCAUUAAUCUUUAUAGCAUACAUGUCAUCACAAUAAUCAUCAUAGGUACAAACUUUGUUCUCAUAAUCAAUUGGAACCUCUUCCGAAAUAGUGGAUUCAUCACAGAACAAAGUCACGACCUCUCCAAAUCCACCUUCAUCAAUAUAAUCAUCAUAAAUAGGAGGCAUGCUUUCAUCAUAAUAAAUUUGCUCAUCGAAACUUGGGGGACAAAAAAUAUCAUCUUCAUCAAACAUAGCUUCCCCAAGCUUGUGGCUUUGCAUAUCAUUAGCAUGAUGGAUAUUCAAGGAAUUCAUACUAACAACAUUGCAAUCAUGCUCAUCAUUCAAAUAUUUAGUGCCAAAUAUUUUAAUGCAUUCUUCUUCUAACACUUUGGCACAAUUUUCCUUUCCAUCAUACUCAUGAAAGAUAUUAAAAAGAUGAAGCGUAUGAGGCAAACUCAAUUCCAUAUUUUUUUGGUAGUUUUAUUUUAUAAACUAAAGUAGUGCUAAAACAAGAAACAAAAAGAUUCGAUUGCAAUAUCUAAAGAUAUACCUUCAAGCGCUAACCUCCCCGGCAACGGCGCCAGAAAAGAGCUUGAUAUCUACUACACAACCUUCUUCUUGUAGACGUUGUUGGGCCUCCAAGUGCAGAGGUUUGUAGGACAGUAGCAAAUUUCCCUCAAGUGGAUGACCUAAGGUUUAUCAAUCUGUAGGAGGCGUAGGAUGAAGAUGGUCUCUCUCAAGCAAUCCUGCAACCAAAUAACAAAGAGUCUCUUGUGUCCCCAACACACCCAAUACAAUGGUAAAUUGUAUAGGUGCACUAGUUCGGCGAAGAGAUGGUGAUAUAAGUGGUAUAUGGAUGGUAGAUAAAGGUUUUUGUAAUCUGAAAAUAUAAAAACAGCAAGGUAACUAAUGAUAAAAGUGAGCGUAAACGGUAUUGUAAUGCGCUGAAACAAGGCUUAGGGUUCAUACUUUCACUAGUGCAAGUCCUCUCAACAAUAAUAACAUAAUUGGAUCACAUAACUAUCCCUCAACAUGCAACAAAGAGUCACUCCAAAGUAACUAAUAGCGGAGAACGAACGGAGAGAUUAUGGUAGGGUACGAAACCACCUCAAAGUUAUUCUUUCCAAUCAAUCCGUUGGGCCAUUCCUAUAAGUGUCACAAACAGCCCUACAGUUUGUACUAGAAUAACACCUUAAGACACAAAUCAACCAAAACCCUAAUGUCAACUAGAUACUCCAAUGUCACCUCAAGUAUCCGUGGGUAUGAUUAUACAAUAUGCAUCACACAAUCUCAGAUUCAUCUAUUCAACCAACACAUAGAACCUCAAAGAGUGCCCCAAAGUUUCUACCGGAGAGUCAAGACGAAAACGUGUGCCAACCCCUAUGCAUAGAUUCAUGGGCGGAACCCGCAAGUUGAUCACCAAAAUAUACAUCAAGUGGAUCAAUAGAAUACCCCAUUGUCACCACGGGUAUCUCACGCAAGACAUACAUCAAGUGUUCUCAAAUCCUUAAAGACUCAAUCCGAUAAGAUAACUUCAAAGGGAAAACUCAAUCCAUUACAAGAGAGUAGAGAGGGAGAAACAUCAUAAGAACCGACUAUAAUAUCAAAGCUCGCGAUACAUCAAGAUCAUAUCACCUCAAGAACACGAGAGAGAUAGAGAGAGAUCAAACACAUAGCUACUGGUACAUACCCUCAGCCCCGAGGGAGAACUACUCCCUCCUCGUCAUGGAGAGCGUCGGGAUGAUGAAGAUGGCCACCGGAGAGGGAUUCCCCCCUCUGGCAGGGUGCCGGAACGGGUCUAGAUUGGUUUUCGGUGGCUAUGGAGGCUUCUGGUGGCGGAACUCCCGAUCUAUUGUGCUCUCCGAAGUUUUUAGGGUAUAUGGGUAUAUAUGGGAGGAAGAAGUACGUCGGUGGACCUCCGGCUGUCCACGAGGCAGGGGAGUGCGCCCCCCACCCUCGUGGGCAGCCCGGGACUCUCCUGGUCCAACUCCGAUACUCCGUGGGCUUCUUCCGGUCCAAAAAUAAGUUCCAUGAAGUUUCAGGUCAAUUGGACUGCGUUUGAUUUUCUUUUUCUGCGAUACUCUAAAACAAGGAAAAAAUAGAAACUGGCACUGGCACUGGGCUCUGGGUUAAUAGGUUAGUCCCAAAAAUCAUAUAAAAUAGCAUAUAAAUGCAUAUAAAACAUCCAAGGUUGAUAAUAUAAUAGCAUAGAACAAUCAAAAAUUAUAGAUACGUUGGAGAUGUAUCAUCUAUCACGAGAAAGAAGAGGAAGAACGACCCCCACGACAAUAGUCAGCAUUCUUCUUCUCUCAUAUAUGGUGGAGUCCCGACAGACUUAAAGUCAACCCGAAAUGUCGUUUAAUUAUCUUUGUAGAAAAUUAGGGCCACUCAAUAUUUCGUACAUAUUCUAUCACAAGUCAACCCGAAAUUCACAGAAAAAUCCGGCCCGACCUUUGCUAAAAAGGACACAUAUCAAGUGUCUGAAAUUUUCCGGAAUGGAAAUUAAUCAACACUCCGGUAAAACAUAGGCCACUCUGAGGUGUUCCGUGCAAACAUAGGCCACUUGGGCAAGCACUAGUAGUACACAACACUACAUAUCACAUGUCUAAAUCUCCAUCAUAUUUGAAAGACCUACAUUGUAAAUUUUCUAUUCCAUGGAAAUUGUCACAACUACUCAUCUAGCUACUACUCUACUACAUCUAUCAAAACAUCUACAUCAUCGACAUGGGGAUUUGGAUGGUCUCGCCUCAAGGUCGGAGUGGUCGAUGACGGGGAUGACCGCGGGGAUGAUGCAGGGGCUCCUUGAUUUCUGCAAAACAAAAUAUAAACAAAAACAUUAUUAUCCCCAUCUUAGGACUUAGUGAAACCCUAUAAGCUAUCAACUAAACAUCAUUAUGCUGAUUCAAAUAACCUAUAUUUACUAAAAAUUUGUAUUAUCUAAAAUGCCCUUGUUCUAACCCUAACAGCUAUCCAUCCAUCUAUCUAUCCAAAGUAUUACUAAAGAAAACCUAGUUUAAUCCAUCUAUCUAUCCAAGCAUUAAAAAACCUAAUUUCAUCCACCCAUUUAUCUAUAAGAUUUCUACUAGUAGUAGGCUCAUAUAUAUGAACACCUAGGGUUACAUAUAUCUACAUUCUAUUGUACUCAAAAAACCUAUUUAGUGCUCUAAUGAUGAAAUGGGCUCAUAUAUAUGAACACCUAGGGUUCAUAUAUAUGAACCAAAUUAGUAAAAAACAUGAACAUAUUGCAUUUGCUAAUUCAUCCAACACAUUCAGAGGUACCUAGCUUUUGGGUGAAUUGAGAGGAGAAGGAGGUACUCACACGGUAGGUAGCCCGGGGCCGAGAAGGGGAUGGAGAGGGCAGGCGCGGGGGAGGGCGGCAGCGCGUGAGGGAAGGCCGGCACCAGGGAGCACCGACGCAUGGGGAGGGCGGGCGCGGGCCUGGGGAGGGCGGACCGAGCAGUGCGGGGGCAGGCCGUCGACGAGGGUGGGAGAGAGAGUGGAGAUGGAGAGUGAGGAGGAGAUACUAAGAGGUCAGACGCGGAGGACGAUGAUAACAUGGGCUUGGUAGUAGCAUGUGUUUAGGCUCAACGCUACUGCUAAUGUCAAUAGCAGUAGCGCCUGUUCGGAAGAGGCGCUACUACUAAGUGGGGAUGGGCACCUGAGCCCGAGCUGGCCAUAACAGAGCGCGGUUCACUAGCACGCGCUGCUGCUAACCACCUACUAGUAGCGCUCCAAAAUAGAACAUGCUACUACUAAUUAGCAGUAGCGCCUCUCUUUAACACGCGCUACUGAUAAGACUAUGUGUAUAAGGUUUUACCAAGUAGUGUAAGUUUUUGUAUGUGUUGGUCAUUUGGCCGGAUAUUCUAUAUGUGUUGGUCAUUUGGUCAGAUAAGCUAUAUGUGUUGACCAUGCCCUAUUUUGCUAGCCCUCCCAUGUGGUCGUGUUGUACUUGAAGUUGGAGAAGAAGAACUUCAUCGUCAUGCAUUGUUGGUUGAAGUUGAAUGGCAAUCCAUAUGGAUCAUAUCCAUUGCCAAUGCCAUCAAGACUUCUGGCAUCGGCAAUGAAGACUAAGAUGGUGAUACAACUAAGCAAACAAAAGGAGAGGCGGCCAAGAAGGUUAAAAAGGGGAUUCGGGGGAGAAGUGGGAGCGGGAUAAGGAUAAGCAAGAAGGGACAUCGACCGAAAUGACAUCAAAGUUAAAGGGCAUAAUGGACAAUGAGGAGGAGGCAUGUGUUAAGCGCCAUGACGUCAAGGAAGAAAAGAAGACGGAUGGGUUUGACAUCUUCAUGGCGGUGAAGGAGAAGAAGAUCAACCUUGAAGAGAAGAAUACCAAACUCGAAGAGAGGAGGGUCGAGCUCACGGCCGCUUCGGAGGAAACAAAAAUGUUGACCAUGAAUAUGGAUGAGUUGGAUACCAGUGCGGCGAAGAUCGUGCAAGCAAUCUGUGCAAAGAUGUUGAAGCACUCGGUGGAGUAUGGAUGAGGCGGAAGUUACGGAGGAGCCGACAACAGAGUGAUGACGAAGAAGGCACGAACAUGCGGUAAAUUUGCACGAACUGGAACUUUUUUGAUCGGACACAUGUAAAAAUUUGUGAACAUCCUUUGUUUUUUGGUUUUGAAGAUUGCAUACAUAUGCACUUUUAUUUGCUUAUCAAUUUGCUACCCGAUCAACAUUUGCACUUCAAAUGUAUCCAUAUAGGGCCUGGGCGGACAUUCUGGGCAAGGUGUUGGAUGGCUGACUCUUGUAUCCAUGUCCGUGGAUGCAUCCGGAAACAGAUAGUGUGUCCAUUUUGUGGCACAACAUUGGAGAUGCCCUUACCAGUUUGGUAUUUGUGUGUGACUGGUGUAUUACACAAGAAAACGACAUCUAAUGUGACGUAGGCCCUAACUUGGAGUUUGUGUGACAUGCAUGGUGCGGGUGCACCAUGGCCCGGAAUUUUUUGCUCUGAAAAGGAACAAUUAUGAAGCCACGUGAGCUUAUAAGAAUGAGGAUUUUGUGGACCCGGUCACAUGCGAAACAAGUGUUUCAAUAGUUAAAAAAGGCAUUAAGCCACCCAACACCAUGGUCCGAAAGAGACGGAGCCAAGUGGCGGCGAGCUACGGUGGCAGUUGUGCGGACGAGGCAGAAGAGAAGAGACAAAGAGGGCAUGUCGGGCUAGGUCAGAGAUGACUUGAAGAGAUUUGGGAUGGGUCCCUCUCAUCAGUCCAAUGUUGUGGACGCGUCUAGGUCUCCCCAUAUCCACCCAACAUAUGGGCUGGGUUUGAGGGCUGCCGGACAAGCCUGGACAUCUGGGCUGGGUAUAGGGGGUCCAGUUGGGUGGCAAUUUUGUGACCGUGUCGUCCAGGGGGGAUUUGAGGGGUCCGGUUAUAGAUGCUCUAGGACUUGACUGGUUCUCUGCAUCCGAGAGCGUCAAAGUGUUGUUCUGUUACUUAGGACGAGGUUGGUUUCGCCCAUCCCCAGCAGGGCUCCGUGGAUGCAAUUUUGGCCAGUUUUGGUUAGUUGGCCUGCUUCAAAAUCUUGUCCUGCAAUAACCUAAAAGCACUACUUAGCUAGACCCUAAGGAAACGACCAAAUCAAGAGUUUUCACUUAGCCCGGCACAUGUCGUGCAUGAAGGGGGAAAGCGGCGUUGAGCUCGUGUGAGCUUGCGGGUGUCCUCAAAAAAAUUGACGGGAGUAAUUCAGUCACCUCCCGCUAAUUGCCUCACCCUAUUUAGCUCCCUUUGGCUCACCGCUGAACCUGCGCCGCCACCCCUGUCAAGCUCUUCGCCUAUGCUGCUUAUUUCCCAAAGAGCAUGUAAGCGACAUCAUCUUCUCCGAUCAGUGGUAGUCGGCAACGUCCAUCCUUCCUCUUCUCCAAGUUGUUUCGUGCCUCCUUCCCACUACUCUGAUGGUUGCAAGUAACAUCACUCCCUACUCAUUGUAACUUAGAUUAGUGUGCAUGUGGUAGAUUAUAAUAGAUCGGCGGGUAGUAUGGUUUAGUGCUUGAUGAUGUUGUGUGAGGAUGGUAGAUCAGAUGAUAGUGGUGCCGUUUUGGUAGUUUGAUGGCUUAUAUAUUUUGUUAACCCCUUAGACCAUGAUGAUGAACUUGCGGUGGUAGAAUUACGCCCUCUUUUUAAUGUGGUGGUAGGAUGACACCAUAGUAGGUAGGAUGAACUUGUGAUACUUUUGGGUAUAUGAAUCAUGCAUGUGUGUGUUGCUUCUGUGUUCAUAGAUUGUCCUGCUUGUUGAAAUUUUGUUCUUAUGUCUUGCUAGAUGAAGUGGUAUGUGGUAUACUCAAAGAGGGUUAUAGGAGUCUAUGGUUCAUGGUAGACAUGCCAUGAACAAGUGAAGGAUUAUAAGAACAACUGCUAUUAAGGGUUUGAGACUAGAGAGGAGGCAAAGGAUGAGUACUCGAAGUUCGGGAUCAAAGAAAAAACAAUCAUGAAGUAAGCAAGGUUGGAUGUCAGAUUGAGUUUAAUGGGCUAAAGAACUUCAUAAUCUUUGUUCAAAUUGUAGUCAUUGUUGUUUUGUUGUUAUAUUGUUAUUGUAUAUAACAUGCAAAUACAAUAGUAGUUAGGGUAGCAUUUGGUAAGCUCAUCAAAUUGGAAUGCAAGUUAACCACAUUAGGCUGAAUGUAUACAACCAAACACAACAAAAUACAUCAUUCUAGCCAACAAUAGCAAAACACAAGCAGCCAAAGUUGAGGUUAGUUGUUGCUAUAAUUCCGUCUGGCUUUCUGGGCAACAAACAACAUGGCCCAAAGGUUGUAUUAGCGCGUCCAGGAUCUACUGGGUCACUCAUGCAAGGGGGCAAAAAUCGAUGCAAGGAACCAAUCAUGCCCUUAGCUCCGGUACUUAUAUUAUUAGUUUUUCAAAAGAAGACCUAUAUCUAUUAUAUACAUUUAUAAAAAAUACAAAUCACCUCAAACAUAAUAAAAAUUACAUCGAGUUCACUGAACCAUAGAAUAAAACGACCACUAGCAGCAUCAAAACAAGCCAGCGACACGUCGCUCCCCUAUCAGAGUUGGCUAGACCAUGUCGAUGAUGGCUGAAAAGUCAUGAUCGUGCCCCAAGGACUAGUGCUCAAAACAUGCAUUUGCCCUCACUGAACUCUUGAACGAUCCGAAGUGCUUGACGUAAAUACCGCUACCAUGCAUGCACGUCAUUAAAACUCUAAUCUCGAAGCCCAAAGACUCCAUCCCGUUGGACGAACUAGAAAAAGAUCAGAGCCCGAAAGACUGACUUGCCUUGAAGAGGAACCCCACACAUGCGAGGAUAUUUUUUUAACCUAAACUACUAACCAAAACCAAGGCAUCGAUAUUCUCCUCCUUGCCCCAUACAUGUUGUAGGUGAAUCCAUAGACUCACUGACGGAGCCUGAAGAGGUCGGUUGUCGUAGACACCGCAAAAGCGAAGUGGAAAGAUGCGUACCCUUUUUGCGGGGAAAGGGAAUUUUAUUCCAUAAUGAGAGAGUUAAAGUCGAGAGGCAAAAGAUCCUCAAUACAUGGUGGACCUAGGUACAACCACAUAGCCGCGGUACACUCUAAACGACUAUAAUUUGUCAAACGGUCAGCAACUCUAUUUUGAUCCCUAGAUAACUGCUAGGGAAUAAACUCCCUAUAUUUCAUCAACUUCUUAAUUUCAGCCACCAGAUGUCCAUAUGCAGAACAAACUAGUCCAUCUCUUGUAAGACUAGACAAAGCUCCACUUGAAUCAGAUUGGACAAUGACCGAAAGGUUACAAUGUUAUAAAGCAAGUGCCAUUCCUUGCAUGAUUGCAUGUAACUCCGCUUCCUGUGCAUUGUUGCAAUUGAAAUAAAUCGAUAUGCAGCAAAAAUAACUGAUCCAUUGUGAUGUCGAAGAAUCAUCCCUGCCGUGGUUGCACCAGACUCCCCUGAAAAGGACCCGUCCACUGACAGAGCAAUGUAAUCAUGAGGAGGAGGCAGCCAAAGCUUAGGAGCCGCGGCCACUCUUACUUAGGCAAAGUCCAAUCAGCAACCGGCAUUUUACCCUUAAUAAUUUCCUCUAUGCUAUACCUACUAGCAUCUUCAAUAGACUUCAUCUAACUCUCCAAAAAGUCCACCGUAGCAGGCACCGGGAACCUCUCACUAUUAGGAAAAGGCCUACUAGUGGCGCACCUGUUUUGCGUACUAAUGAUGCACUACAGGUGCGCCACUAGUAUCACGCCAUUAGUAUUUUUUACUAAUGGCGCACUUGUGAUGCGCCAUUAGUAUCUGGUAUACUAGUGGCGCACCAUGCAGUGCGCCAUUAGUAUAGCCCACGGUGCGCCAUUAGUAUGCCUCCCAUGGGGCCAUAUUUACCCAUGUGCUUUGGCAUACUAAUGGCGCACUAGUGGAUGAUGCGCCAUUAGAGUCCUUUUUGCAGUGCGCCAUUAGUGUGCUGAGUGGUGCGCCACUAGUAUGAAUAUUACAGAUUUUUUUCUUUUCUAAUAUUUGCACAGGUUACAAAACAUAUUACUGCACAUAAUAUAGAGAGCAAAACAUAUAAAUAGCAGAUCCAUCGAAUACAAUAAAAGAUUAGUCUCCGAAUACAACUCAUCAUAUUAGUCUUCGAAUUCAAAAGACCGAACAAAGAUAGAACAUUACAAGUCUCGAGACCGCAAGUAGCGAGUUUGUCGGAAGUAAUACUAAUCCUAACAAGUCCUACUAAUCAUCAUCAUACAACUUCUACUCGUUAUUAAUAACAAGUCAUAUGAUCAUCAUCUUGAUAGUCAUCGAACCAACCCUACUUAAUUGUUCUUAGCACAUGAUCAUCAGUAUUAGGCAGGAUCUAAAUACCCUAUUUAAGGUAAAAUAGCAUAAAACAAUAUAGACCCUGACUCUCCAUUAUGGAGAAUGGAGAUCAUUCUGUCUCCAAUUCUUGCGCUUCGCUUCCUUUUGCUUCCAAGAACCUCCUUACGACUGUCCAUACAUUUUUUCCAUCCUUUGAUUUGCAUGUCUCCACUUCUUUUAGAAAUCUGGUAUGGAUAGUUGAGAUUCGUAGGAUGACCUGGCUGUAUGUUCAAAACAUUAAGGCUACGUUUCUGAUACAUCAAAUGAGGUACACAAUUCUCUGGGAUUAUCUGUUGAAAAACAUAGUAAUAACUUCAUAGUUAGCAAUGAUGUACUAGUUUUAGAAGUAUGCAAAAGAUGCACGGAUGUCAUAAUAGUAAAAAAUCUUACCAGGGUAUCUCCAUGGUAGUUACUGUAGUUGAACAGAUGCACUAGUGGCAAGUAUUGACCAUAAUGUUGAGGAGUUUGAUUGUAGACAUUGUAAUUCUCAAUGUCAGUACAAAAUCCGACCAGAUGAGUUUUCUCCUUGUAAGUUGUUAAUUCGGAGCCAUCGGUGUAGUGGGUUUUGUCUACCAUCUCCCGCACAUUCUUUGAACAAUGAAAAUAAGCUGUCAACUAUUUUGAAAUAAACAAUUUAAAUUAGCUAAUAACUAUGUUUGAGAAACUCACAUAGCGGUAGAAUUGGAGGCGUAUCAACAAGGACCCAAAUGUGCAUAUUGUCUUGCUUGAUUUUAGGAUCACCAUGAUUCAUGGUGACAAGCAUACCCUCAUCAAAACCAUACAUCUUGCAAAAUGCUUCCCAAUUUUUGCAACCAAAAUGGGGUACGCUCCCAGAAUUAUACAGAUUUACUUCAACAUCCACAUCGUGAUGAGUCCUUAGGUGAAUUUUCUUUGUUUCAGAAAUUUCAUGGUCUUCAAAAUCCAUCCUCUCCAAGACAUAGCGUCUUGCAUGUCAUGGGAUAAGCUAUACUCGAAUUGUAAAAGAUGAAAAUUACACGUUGAAAUAGUUGAAGUCAUGCUUAAUUAUGAAAAUAACACUUGUCGUCGUUGUGUACCAUUUCAACUUCGAAGGUCUCCUCGAGCUUAAUGCUGAAGCGCCGAUCAUCGUCCAGGUGAGGCAUGUCGCAUAGACCUCGAUCGUCGUGGCACCAGCCGCACUCCCCCGGGAGACUUUCGUCGUCCGAUGACGACAUAUCCUACGUUCAUAAUUCAAAACUACAUCAUCUCUUGCGUUGGGUCCAAUAAGAUAAUCCACAGUGUGGUGAAAACACGCCCUUCGAACUGGUUUGAGCUAUUGGUGAAUGGAGAUGGUCUAAGAUUUUAGUAGUAAGAAGUGAAGUGGUAAUUUUGAGAGCAAAUGGUUAGGAUGAGUGGUUCCUCUUUCCUGUUUAGCUUUACAAUAGAAUAUUGUUAGUCAUGCACACUUGUGCAUUUUCAGCCAGGUCCAGUGGGGUUGGCCUAAAAACAUUUCUUUCUUUAAGCCUGCUACAUCCAUCUCAAGUAUUUAUGGUCAAGGGUUAGCAGGGCCAUCCAAAUAGAAUAUGUGGUAUGGGCUUUUUUAGUAGGUCAUCCUACCAGAUUAGGGUUUAUCGAUGACGAGCAACUGACAUUAGUAAUAACUAUGAGUUUAUAUCACACUUCUAUAUGUAUAACACAAGAGGCAGUUGAUCCUACUUAAUUAAGUACUAAGAUACCCCGGCCCAUGCAUUAGUCGCAAGUACCCCAUAUGCCCUAUUUUUAGCAAAGUCAUGCUAAAAUUCACAGAAAAUUUCAGCAUGACCUUUGCUGAAAAUAGGACAUAUGGAGUACCCAAAUUUGCCGGAACGGAAGUUAAUCGACAUUCUGGCAAACUCAAGGGCCUCUCGGGGUACCUGCAAAAUCAUCACGACACGAUUGGUCGGAGACAAAACCCAGCAAAGUUACUAACGUGUUUACAGAAAUUGUUUUCUGUAAAAGAUGAUCAUCAUCUUUACAAGUCUUUCUCAAUGUGAUCACAGAAACAAAGCAGCACCACAAUGUGCCUCUACUUUCAUAUGGAUGAAAAGGCCACAGACCAUAUGGUCCUCUGCUUUCAUAUGGACAAAAUAAAAGUUCACAUAUAUAAAUGGAAAUGAAAAAGGAUAGUAGGAAAUGAAAAAGAAUUAUGCUCAAAGAACAAUGGUAACAGCAAAGAUGAUAAGUAUAUUUGAAACAAGAAAACAAUACAUGCAUAGGCUAUAUUUGAAACAAGAUAUUCUGCCAAUCUUUGUUAACUAAAGCUAAGAUGAUAAGUAUAUCUAGAGUGCAUUAGCUAUGGUUCUUAUCUAGUUAAAAUAAAAGGAGAAAAUUGCUUAUUUACACCUCACAAAUAUUUUGGCUUGCUGAUCUAGGGUAGAAGACAUUUUUGUCAUCGGUGCUAGUCAGAUCUGAACCUUACAUCAAAUACACUUCUCAAUGUUCACUGAAAUUUAGAGAAUAGAUUGAGAGAGAUAGCAGCAGCAAGAAGUUGAGGUUUAGACUCUGAAGAGGAACAACAGUGGUGCAAGGAGAUGGAGUAGAAGCAGUAGAGAGCGGCAGCAAGCAGUAGAGAGCGGCGGCGCAGCAUCUCCAAAAAGAGACACCUCUCAGCACAUCAGCAUCAGCAUCCAGGGAGGAGCUGCAUGACACCAUCUCCAAAAACAGACCACCACAAAGCCAGAAUGGUUUGCUUUCUUACUCUUAUCACUCCUCCUUUUAACACAACCAGAAAACUACCACCACCUAAAUAACAAACACCUCCUUGGAUAUGCUAAAACCACAAAAUGAUCACGGCAGUGUGUUUGUGGCAUCCGUGCAUGUGCCAAGAUAUGCUAAAACUUAGCUCAGCAACCAACAGAAAGUAACUUAGCCCAAGAACAAGCUUUGUGAAAACCAAUAAGUCACACAUUAUGUCGAUUCAACAACUACAUUGGGAACUAUUACAAAAACUGAGAAAACAUUAUGCAUGCUGUCUAAAACUUAGCUCAGCAACCAACAGAAAGUAACUUAGCCCAAGAACAAGCUUUGUGAAAACCAAUAAGUCACACAUUAUGUCGAUUCAACAACUACAUUGGGAACUAUUACAAAAACUGAGAAAACAUUAUGCAUGUUGUCUGAACAUGUACAUUGAAGAAUGAAAAACAACUAUCUGGUGAGGGCUCUUUUGCUCUGAAUUCAUUGAAGAAUGACAAACAACUAUCUGGCCAUUAGCAGCAGCAGUAGCUAGGGGCAGUAGGCAACACUAUCAAAGAAGCAGCGGCGCAACAAGCAAGAGCGGCAGCAGUGCAAGAGCGGCGACGACGGCAAGAGCAGCAGGAAUCAAAAGCAGCAGCGGCAGCGGCGCUAUAGGCAGAAGCAGUAGCAGGCGAGCAGCAGAAGCAGAGUAGCAGCAACGGUGCGGUCGGUUGCGGGCGACGACAGGCACGUGGGGGCGCGGUGCAGCAGCGGCAGCAUGUUAGCAGUGAGCUCGGGGACGGCAAAUGACGACGAAUCGAGGCGAAGUAAAGGGGGAUCCAGAGGAGAAGCUCACCACGAAGCCGUGUACGUGGUCGGGGAGGCCGGGGACGGACCAGAGCGAGACGGGGCCGGGGACAUGGUCGACGUGGUCGGGGAGGACGACGGUGAUGUACAACAACGGGGCCACGCACAGGAAGAGAUGGCGAGAGGUGGCUGCUGCUCCUCGGCGAGGUGGACGGGCUGCUGCUUCUUCUUGUCGGUGGGGGGUCGGCGGCNNNNNNNNNNNNNNNNNNNNNNNNNNNNNNNNNNNNNNNNNNNNNNNNNNNNNNNNNNNNNNNNNNNNNNNNNNNNNNNNNNNNNNNNNNNNNNNNNNNNNNNNNNNNNNNNNNNNNNNNNNNNNNNNNNNNNNNNNNNNNNNNNNNNNNNNNNNNNNNNNNNNNNNNNNNNNNNNNNNNNNNNNNNNNNNNNNNNNNNNNNNNNNNNNNNNNNNNNNNNNNNNNNNNNNNNNNNNNNNNNNNNNNNNNNNNNNNNNNNNNNNNNNNNNNNNNNNNNNNNNNNNNNNNNNNNNNNNNNNNNNNNNNNNNNNNNNNNNNNNNNNNNNNNNNNNNNNNNNNNNNNNNNNNNNNNNNNNNNNNUUGUGAAUUGGUAAAACAUUUAUGAAUGUGAAAAAAUAUCAUCAAAUUUGAAAAAAUAUUAAAAAGUUCAAUCGGCGGCAGUGGUGGAGCGAGGGAGGGUGCGGUGGGUCGUCAGCGGCGGUGGAGCGGGGGGUGGUGCGGGGGGUGCUCGGCGGCGAGGGGGAUCUGGCGAGGGGGAUAUCGAUCGAGAUGGAGGGGGAUCGAGAUCGAGUGUCUUCAUGAAUAUUCAAUAUUUUUUCAUAUUGAAUAUGAAAAAAUAUCAUCAAAUUUGAAAAAAUAUUCAUGAAUUCAAAAAGUGCCCAUGAAAUUUAAAAAUAUUCAUGAGUUCAAAAAGUACCCAUGAAAUACAAUCGAGAAAUGAAGACUAUGAUUUAAAUACAAUCGAUCUUAGCUAGCUAUCUUUUCACAAUCUUCUUGCCCUUCUUUUUCGCAAAUGGAGUUUUUCUGUUGAACGGACAUCCUUUAGGUAGGGUGGUCCUGCUUCUUCUUGUGGUGUAUGGCACUUCAUCGUCAUCGUCAUGUUCCAUCUGCGGGUCGCCGUACUUGUCGAAGUCUUGCUCAUUGGCGACUCCAUCCAUUCCGAUGAUCUUCCUUUUGCCUCUCCUCACGACAACACAACUGGGCUUUGACGGGUCGGUGAUGAAGAAGCAUUGUUCCACUUGGGAAGCUAGUACCCAUGGCUCAUUUUUCGCGGUGACGUUUGCGCCCACGGUCUUGGAUUUGACUACGGGUAUAACCAUGGUGGUGAAAUACCGGUCUUCUUUUAGGACGCUCUUGGCCCAUCUGACACGGAACAUCGGGAUCUUCUCUCCAGCGUAGCUCAGCUCCGAGAUCUCCUUGAUCCUUCUGUAGUAUCUAUCCUUGUCAUUACCGGUGUAGGAUUCCAUCGUUACCCCGGAGUUCUGAUAACCAUCGCUCUUCAUGUCCUUGUCCUCGGUGUAGAAUGUGUAGCCGUUGAUAUCGUAAGCCUCAUAGGUCAUCAGGUUGUGCUCGGCACCCUGUGACAAGGCGAAUAUGAGUUUUUCUUCCGCGGAAGAAUCCUCAUGUAAAGGGUACGACAGAAGCUUCUCCUUGAACCAACGCGUGAAACAUGAGUUGUGCUCUUUGAUUAUAUCUCCUUCCAUCCUCUGUUGGCCUCGGUCAUUGUACGUCUUCUCAAUAAAGGUUUUGAGCUCUACCACCCAAGGAUCGACCACGUCUAUGUGUUGUAGCGCGACUAGGUUUGCUCUUUCAAAGUCGGCGAGUCGACCCUCGAAGUCGACAUGCAUUUCACGGCGACCCUCGCGGUGACCCCAUCCAGCGAGCCUACCGAGAUGCCUAUUGACGGGCAGACCAACGGGGUUCUCGAUGCCUAGAUAAUUCGUGUAGUAGGAGAUGCACUCUUCGGUUAGAAAGCCCCUGGCUAUGCUUCCCUCUGGACGUGACAUGUUGCGAACAUAUCCUUUGAUGACACCAUUCAUUCUUUCGAACGGCAUCAUGAUGUGCAGGAAUGUCGACCCGAGUUGGAUGAUAUCCUCCACGAUAUGGACCAGCAGAUGCACCAUAACGUCGAAGAAUGCGGGCGGGAAGUACAUCUCAAGCUCGCAUAGUAUCACCACGAUCUCUUCAUGUAGCCUUCUGAGUUGCCUCACGCCAACCGACUUCCGAGAGAUGACGUCGAAAAAGUUGCAUAGGCCAAAUAGCGUUUCACGGACAUGCGCAUCUAUGAUUCCACGGAUUGCAACUGGAAGUAUCUUCAUCAUCAACACGUGACAGUCGUGAGACUUCAUCCCGCUAAACUUCUGCUUCGCUGGGUCUAGGUUUCUGCUUAUCUUCCCCGCGUAACCGUAAGGAAGUUUUACUCCUAUGAGGUAGGUGAAAAACUGCUCGAUCUACUCCUGACUUAGAGUGAAGCACGCGGGAGGGUAGUCAUUUCCGGUCUUCUUGGCCUUUUUGCCUUUGCAACGAAUUUCCGUGUCCUUCAAGUCUGCCCUUGCUUUCGGCCCAUCUUUGGUCCUCUUUGGCAUGUUGAGCAGGGUACCAAGCAGACUCUCGCACAUGUUCUUCGUGAUAUGCAUGACAUCAAGGCUGUGAGGCACACGAUGGAUCUUCUAGUACGGCAAGUCCCAGAAAACAGACCUCGUUUCCAUACCUUUAGUAGCAGCUCUGGCGCCUUUCGCUUCUUUCCCGGCUCUGGCGCCUUUUGCUUCUUUCUCGGCAGUGGGCAAUCUUUCUAAUUUUUCAACAGCUCGUCUAUUUCCUCGCCGCUCCUCGUACGCGGGCGUCUUCGGGGUUCGGUUUCACCAUCGAACAGAUCCUUGCAUUUUCUCCAUGGGUCAUCGCCGCGAAGCCACCUUCGAUGUCCCAUGAACACGGUUUUCGAAAACCCGGGAUCUCUAUCUAGCUGGCGGUACGUUGUGUCAUCCAUGCACCUGACGCAUCCAGAAAAUCCGUGGACCACCUACCCAGCGACAUAUCCGUAACCGAGAUAGUCGUGCACCGUCGUGAGCAGUGCGGCUCUCAUAGGGAAAUAUUCUUUCUCUGCGGCGUCCCACAUAUUGGCUGGCGUUUUCCACAGUGUGUCUAGCUCCUCUUUCAGCAACCCCAGAUACAGAUUGAUGUCGUUCCCUGGUUGUUUCGGCCCUUCAAUUAGCAUACUCAUGUGAAUGUACUUCCUCUUCAUGCACAACCAGGGGGGAAGGUUGUACAUCCACACAAACACAGGCCAGGUGCUAUGUGUGCUUCCCUGGCUGCCAAACGGAUUGACUUCAUCGGUGCUCGCGCCAAGCACGAUGUUCCUUGGAUCUUCCCCAAAUUCUGGGUGUUCGAAGUUCAAUGCUUGCCACUGGCUCGCAUCCUUAGGGUGACUCAGCAUCUUGCCUUUUUUAUUUAUCUCCAGAUCAUUUCCGUCAUCUUCUCGCUUCUUCUCCUCCCUAUCUGCGUGCCAACGCAGGAGCUUUGCUAGCUUAGGGUCCGCGAAAUACCGCUGCAGACGAGGAGUGAUCGGAAAGUACCACACCACUUUUCGAGGAGCUUUCUUCCUCUUCUUGUAUCGAGUGACGCCGCACACCGGACAUAUGGUAGUCUCCGCGUGCUCGUCCCGAUAAAUGAUGCAAUUGUUCAUGCACACAUGGUAUUUCAUGUGCGGUAAAUCCAGAGGACACACGAUUUUCUUUGCCUCCUCGAAACUGGUCGGGCACUUGUUCCCCUUGGGAAGACGUUCGUGCCAGAAUGACAUGUUCUCGUCGAAGCAUGCGUCGGUCAUUUUGUGUUUUACCUUUAUCUCCAGAGCCAUAAGCGUUACUUUCAGGCGGGUAUCCUCGGGCCUGCAUCCUUCAUACAAUGGAGUAACUGCGUCUAUCUCCAGUUGAUCCAGCUUGGCUUUCUCUCGGGCAGCAACUCUUGCGUUAUCCGUCUGCUUGAGAAGCAGCUCUUGAAUAUGAGGGUCCUGCACCCAGCCUCCAUCGUCGUCUGCUCCGGCAUCUUCAUCUUCAUGAUCAUGCCCUUCGUCUUGAUCUUCCUCAUCAUCAUGUCCGGCAUCUUCUACAUGAUGACUGUGUACAGCAUCACCUCGUGAUCAUGUCCUGGAGAUUCUUUGUCUUCUCGCCCGCCCUCGCCGCGGUGGUUGUCUUCCUCAUUUCUUGCCCGGCCCCCAUGGACGACUUCAUAGUCAUCUUCAUUACAUUGCCACCGAUAGCCAUCCAUAAAACCACACAAGAGCAGGUGGUCCCGCACCUGCCCGGAAUCCGGGUCUGCAAUAAGGCUCUUCAGCUUGCAUCUUCAACACGGACAUCUUAUCUCCGUCUCGUUUUUUUGAAGCAUCUCGGCCUUCGCGGAGUUCAAAAACCUAUUCACGAUGCCUUCGGUCAUCGUGCGGACCAUGGUCGCCUGCGGGGUAGAGUAAAACGAUAUUUUAGAACCAAGAAAAAAUUUGGCACGACUUUCCCUAAAAAUAGGACCAGAAAGAAUGCAUAGUGCCAAAAUUCUCGCCGAAACGGAAAUGAAUCAACAUUUCGGCAAAAUAUUGGCAACUAUCGCAUUUCAAAUACCGGUACCUGCAAACACAAACAUAUAUGCAAACACAAACAUAUGCAACACCACAAACAUACAUAGAUCUAGUUAGGCCAUAAAAAGUGCAUGUGCACGUUGUUGGAGGGAGAAAAAAAUAGAUCUACAACAUAAAGAUAGCUUUCCCCUUACUUAUAAAAAAGUAAUUUAACCACUUAAUUUGGAUGAAUCUAUGGUGCAAAUGAGGUGAGGAGAAGGAGGCAGCUGAGACAAGCUUGGAGGAGGAGGUGGAGAGAAUGAAGUGGGGAAAGUGAGUGUGUAGGUGUGGCUGUCCAAAAUAUCUAGCUGGUCUCAGAUUACUAAUGGCGUACCACCCACAAAUGCGCCAUUAAUAACCCUGGUUACUAAUGACACACUAGAUUGUGAUGCGCCAUUAGUAGUUUUGUAAAAAAGAAUGAUAGUAGUGGCGCACGUGGUGAGUGAUGCGCCAUUACUAGUUAAACUAGUAAUGGCGCACUGUUUCCUGGGGGCGCCAUUAGUAUUUUUGAAAAAAAAAUGUUAAUAGUGGCGCACCAUUGGUGUGGUGCGCCAUUAGUGUGAUAGACACUAAUGACGCACCAGCACAUGAUGCGCCACUGCUAUAUAGUAGUGGCGCAUUACAUGUCUGGUGCGCCAUUAGUGUUCAUAUUAUCUAUAGCCAUUUUUCUAAUAGUGUCUUUAUCAUAAGUAAGAUCAUACUUGCACCUACCGAAAUCCCAAUACGUGUUUUUUGUUACGAGGACAGACGAGAGCUGAUUGAGAGGAGUAAAAUAAUUCGUUCCGGUGCUCGGUCAAGGACGGAUUCCCCGCCCCCGGUGUUCCUCUAGAAAGACAACACUACGGAGAGCAAAAUACGUAGACUAGUCUGUGCAGCCGUCAUGCAUGGUAGACGCAUCAAACUACGGUCGAUGGUUGAACGUUGCUGCGGUUCCAUUAGUACCAGCAGCAGCAUCACGCUGGUUGUGGAAAGUGGCUCAUUAACUCGGUUGGUUGCACUUGUACUGGACCAAGUGUGUGUCCAUCACACGCGUGCUAGCAUCACCACGAGCACUAAACUAGGAACGCAAUUCCAUCCGCUCGACCGCUCUGCAUAUACGACGUUGACACAGGUCGCUCGAGUGGCAUGCGUCAAGUUACUUACUCAUCCUCUUGCUUCGCAGCUAAGUACUCACGAAAACAGUACUGUAGUAGAAUUUCCCUGGAUUUAUCAGAUAAGUCGUGUCAAUGCAAUGGCCCAAGACGAAGUCACAAAGGGCAUGCAUAAAAGGACAAGACCUGCUGUCGGUAAAGGGAGCACACAUAUGCAUUUCAUGAGAGGAAAUAGCUCCACAGAAAGAUGAGAGUGAAUAAUGUGAGUAGUUGGGAGCAUAUGCUUCCAGAUGAACAGUAAAUUUAAAAUAAAUAGUAAUAAAAUUUUAAAUUUUUUUCGCGUAGAUGGUUAUGUUAGUGUAACAAGCGUGCUUGACAAUUUUUGUGCGAAAUGGAAUAGCAUUGCUUCGUCGGUGAAAAACAAAAUUAAGUGUAACAUUUGGAGGUUGUUUUUUGUUUGUUUGCACUUGUCAGAAUGCUUAAGCUUUUCCCCUAAAAAUUUGUAGGUAUCAUUUGAAUGUGACAAUGAACACACCAGUUUUAUUUAAAUGACAUUUGCAAAAUACAUUGUGGCGCGCAGAAGCAUAUGCUCCCAAGAGCCAAACUGGAUUUCCGGUGAAUACUAGUCUAUGAUGUAUGUUACUGAAAAAGGCAUUCGUCUCCCCAAGCAUACCAUAACCAUUACAACAAAAAGUAAAAAAGGACAAAGAUACAUGAUACCGAACGAGCCACUGGCAAGCUCUGAAUGCAACAAGAAUAAGCUUGGGCAUCAAGGCUCUGGGCGAAUCAAGAUCUUGUUACCGACAUGACCAAGAAAAGGUAGCAGCCCGCUGCCGGAGAAAAAUCAUGCUCCGUCAACUCCCAUGAGGCCAACCAUAGUUGUUUCGCCGUCCUUGUAUGUCUCUGAAUAAGGCCCCCCUGCCCUCUAGUCUUGGAUCGGAGGACACCAAGCCGUCGGUAGAUAGAACCGCUCCCCUGAGCUCGUAUGACCUGGACCAACAUGUUGCCAGGGAGAGGAUGACCGGCACGUCUACCUCACCUUGCAAAGCAACACCCUGUACAUCGUCGCCGCCUCCAGCAAGGUUCAACGUCAACCGCAAGCAGCCGAGUAGGAGCAUUUCUAUAGCUCAUAGCAAUCAACCUCCAACUUCGAAGCCCCGACCAUCACUCCACAGUCCCAAGGUGGCGUCUUCAAGAAGUAAAACGCUGCCAGAGCGUCGUUGCCAUCCAAUCCGGAGAUUUUGGGUUUUCACCCGGGACUCGGAGGUGGAGGGAAAGGGUAAGAUCUCGAUGCCGCCUACAGGAAGGGGAACAAUGCUUGGAGCGCCAACGGCAUCAUGGCCAUUACAACCGACCAAGGGAUUCUCCCAAUCCGUAGCCCCCAACCCCUCCAUUCCCAACUAGUCACCGGACCUGACCAAACGGAGGUCGCUGGCAUCAUGGGCCCACGAGGAAGGAAGAGGAUCGAGGAAGGAGACCACCUUCUCUAGUUCAGCUCCAAGGACCGAUAAAGAGGCCCCAUGAACAUUCUAGACUCGAUACCGACCUGUAGCCCGUGGGCGCACCUUUGCAUCAAUGCCCUUCACCCGCCACUGGGUAGAAUGCUCCAUCCCACCUAUUGCCUCUGCCACAUCUUCGGGCGCUCCACAUGCAACCCCCCACCACCAUGGAGCCCUUCACAACACCGUCAGACACCGGCGCCGUCGCCACCGCCCAGCGCAGCAUCGUUGCGCCCUCUAGCAGCAUAACGCCACCGCCCGACCUCACCAGGUUGCGCCGACCGCCAUCGGUAAGGGGAAGAGAGGCCCUGCCGGCACCGAUACUGCCAGGGCAUCGAUCAAGGCGAGCCGAUAGGGGUGAGGGGAGGGAAGGAGGGGAAUGGGAGAGCUAAGCCGACAGCUAGGGUUUCCCCUCUGAGUCGCUCGCAGGAGCGACACGAGAGGGGGGAGGGGAUGAUUUGUUGGGGGUGCUCCUUUACAAUGUUAUGUUCUCGUGGCUUUUUUGAACAAAAGAGUUGUAAAUACCAACUAAUCAUAUUGAAAAAUGCUUUCGCCCUGCUUUAUAUUAAAUCAACAGCCGACAUCCAUCCCGACGCAAACAACCACUACCACACCAACACAACACAUACCUCAAGGCAAGAUACAGGUACCACAGAUCAACCACCUCAUCCCAUAACUCCAAGUAGACAACAAAUGGACUUUAAUCAAUACUAUGGAGUCGACGAGGCCCUAACCUGUGAAAAGCCAUCGCAAAAAGGUGAAGUUGAACGUACAUGAACCAUGAGUUCCAAUGGGGUGCCUUCUAGAAUAUCAUGACAUCGGAGCGCUAUCAAGAUUUUCUCCUGGAGCACGACGAAGGACAAGGAGAAACAAUGACAAACACUUCAAGAAGUGGACAAUGUGCAUGGACGCCGACUCUAUCGUCCUGGUGUAGGAUCUAGAAGUAGGUGUGUCUAGAGGGGGGUGAUUAGACACUUAGUGCUAAAGUUGCAAUUUUUAAUCUUUUUCGGUUUGAGUGGAGUUUUAGGCACAAUUUCAACAUGCACAAUACAUAUCAAGCAAGCAUGCAAAGAGUAUAUGAGCAGCGGAAUGUAAAGCACGCAACUUGCAAGAAUGUAAGGGGAAGGGUUUGGAGAAUUCAAACGUAACUGGAGACACGGAUGUUUUUCCUGUGGUUCGGAUAGGUGGUGCUAUCCUACAUCCACGUUGAUGGAGACUUCAACCCACGAAGGGUAACGGUUGCGCGAGUCCACGGAGGGCUCCACCCACGGAGGGUCCAUGAAGAAGCAACCACCCACGAAGGGUAACGGUUGCGCGAGUCCACGGAGGGCUCCACCCACGAAGGGUCCACGAAGAAGCAACCUUGUCUAUCCCACCAUGGCCAUUGCCCACGAAGGACUUGCCUCACUAGCGGUAGAUCUUCACGAAGUAGGCGAUCUCCUUGCCCUUACAAACUCCUUGGUUCAACUCCACAAUCUUGUCGGAGGCUCCCAAGUGACACCUAGCCAAUCUAGGAGACACCACUCUCCAAGAAGUAACAAAUGGUGUGUUGAUGAUGAACUCCUUGCUCUUGUGCUUCAAAUGAUAGUCUCCCCAACACUCAACUCUCUCUCACAGGAUUUGGAUUUGGUGGAAAGAAGAUUUGAGUGGAAAGCAACUUGGGAAAGGCUAGAGAUCAAGAUUCAUAUGGUAGGAAUGGAAUAUCUUGGCCUCAACACAUGAGUAGGUGGUUCUUUCUCAGAACAUAUGAGUUGGAAGUGUAGAUGUGUUCUGAUGGCUCUCUCCAUGAAUGAAGAGGAGGUGGAGGGGUAUAUAUAGCCUCCACACAAAAUCCAACCGUUACAUACAAUUUACCAAUCUCGGUGAGACCGAAUCAACAAACUCGGUCAGACCGAAAUAGUAAACCUAGUGACCGUUAGAGAUUUUCGGUGGGACCGACUGGAUCAACUUGGUGGGACCGAUGUGCUAGGGUUAGGGUAAAUCCAAAACUCGGUUUGACCGAUUACUCAAACUCGGUGGGACCGAUUUGGGUAAUAAGCAAAACAGAGAGUUGGCCAAGCAAACUCGGUGGGGCCGAUUGCAUAUCUCGGUGGGACCGAAAAUAUUGCAAUAGGUAACAGAGAGUUUGCAAGCCCAUCUCGGUGAGACCGAGAUCCCAUCAGUGAGACCGAACUGAUUAGGGUUUCUGGCAGUGGCUAUGACAAGUGAAACUCGGUGGCGCCGGAUAGAAAGAAUCGGUAGGUCCGAGUUUGGCUCUGGGUUUAGGUCAUAUGAGGAAGUGGGAAAGUAGCUGAGGGUUUUGGAGCAUAUCAUUAAGCACAUGAAGCAAGAGGCUCAUUAAGCAACACCUCAUCCCUCCUUGAUAGUAUUGGCUUUUCCUAUGGACUCAAUGUGAUCUUGGAUCACUAAAAUGUAAAAUGAAGAGUCUUGAGCUUUAAGCUUUAGCCAAUCCUUUGUCCUUAGCAUCUUGGAGAACUUCCCACAACCUUUAGUCCAUGCCACUCCAUUGUUGAACUUAUCUGAAACAUACUAGAUAGAAAUGUUAGUCCAAUAAGAGAUAUGUUGUCAUUAAUUACCAAAACCACCUAGGGAGCACUUGUGCUUUCAAUCUCCCUCUUUUUGGUAAUUGAUGGCAACAUACAUCAAAGCUUUAGAUCAAGAUAUAAAGAACAGCAAGUAAAGCUUUGGAAGGACAUGUAACAAGCAUAGGCUCCCCCUACAUGUAUGCACUCAUGUAAAUAUGAAAUAUAAAGGCAUGUGAGAGCAUAACCAUGACAGAGUAGGCAAUGUGUUACAUGUAUCUUGGCCAUAUGCAUCAGAGCAAAAGCUUAUCAAGGAAAAUACCUUCAUGCUCAUGAGUCCUUCUUGCAAACAGUAUGUACAUAAGCAAGAAUUCCUCAUACUCAUGAUUUUGAUGCAUACACUUACCUUGUAGUCUUUGGUUGGCUUAGGAUGGAAUGAACCUGCACAAACAAAGUUAGAUAACACAGGUACCUCCACUAGCUAGAGCAAACCAAGGAAGCCACAAGAGAACCAAGACUGGGAUGACAUGUAGAGAGUGAGUACAAGGUACCACAUUGGAUUCAACAUGUCCCCAAGAGUAAAGAUAUGAAAUGAAUUUGACUGAUUUCUUUCCCUUAGGUGUCUUGCUCCCCCUGAAUCUUACAUGGGAUAUUGGGAGAAGAUAGGGAACAGAAAAUCAGAGCUGAAAGAUACAAAUGGAUAGGACUUAAUGCAAAUAAGCACAUAUGAACAUGUCUUUCCCCCAAAAAGACAUGUGACAUCUCUCCUCUUAAACAUCAAGCAUCUGGGACAUCCGAGAUCCUUGAGUAUUCUCUCCCCCUGGAAAUCUCUUUCUCCCCCUUAAUACUUUCUCUCUUGUAGGUUUGGUCCUUGAGACUUUCUCUCCCCCUUGAGCUUUGAUGUGAUCUCUCUCUCCCCCUUUGACAUCAAUUUCCAAGAAGGGCUUUCUGGAAUCCGUCGUAUAGGUUUGGUCCUAGAGACUCAGCAUAAAGCAAUGGAUAAAACUAUGAUGCUUGUAGAGGACAAGAUUCAUUGAGUAGAGCUGGAUCAGAAGAAAUAUAGAACAAGUGGCAAACUGUUUUUCCUAUUGUGAAGUCGGUGGCACCGAGUGGCAUGUUUCGGUGGUACCGAAAAGAUUUGGUUGGACCGAAAAUUACAAGUCGGUGAAACCGAGUUCACACAGAGAAAACACUUGUCACCUCAGCUCACUAGACAUGUAGGAUCUCACAAAGAUUUGCAAUGAAUUACCUGAAGGAUUUGCAAGGAAUUGAAUGCAGAAAAUGCAGAACAAAAAGAAAAAGAAAAAAGAAGAAACUGAAAGAUCUAGAUGAAGUUUUUUUGAAAAAGAGAAAGAAAAUAAACAUGCAUGAGACAAAUGCAAUAACACAGAAAAGAACACAAGAGAACUUCAUCUAGAGUUGGGCGGUGACAUAGUCACCUAUGUUAGAGUAUAUUGACUUAGGAGUCAAGUGAGAACACUUGAUCAUAGGUCAUACUCAUCGUUUAAGCUCAAAAUGGGGUUACCAUUUUUUGUUUAAGCAUCUUGAUGUAUUCACAUCUUGUUGAGUUGCUUUGACUCAUGUCUUCGAGUAAAGCUUCUCUAAGAUGGAAUAACAUACAUUGGGUGGUGGUGUGGUUCUUGCUCGUGUAGUUGAACUUGUGUGGGUGCUCAAGGUUGAUGUAGCUCAUCAAGAGUUGGGAGCACCACUUGGAGUUUGAGUUCAUCUACCUACAUGGGUUAGUUCUUGCAAGAAAGAGCACUUGUGUAUCCAAAAAUGACAAUCAUGAAGCUCAACAUAGAAUUUGUCAAAGGAUAUGUUUGAAUGGUUUUGGUAAGCUUCCUUGUCUUCAACCACCAUUGUGUAGAGACUUGGUGAUGUAGAGAUUGCUCAAGAUGUGAGUGAGUCGCAAUCUCAUGGAAUUAGAUUCAACCAAGCACCUACAUGUGUUAGACAACAUGCAAGGUACAAAUAUAUCCAAGACAUAAGAUAGUCAUCAUAAGAGAUAUAUCAUGGAUUAGUCAUAAGCUCAUGUCUUGCAUGUAUCCAAUGGAGUUUCUACUCCAAGUUCGAAGCAUCAAUGAUGUUCAAUUCUCCUCUCAACCUGCAAAACACUUUCUCAUCAAGUGGUUUAGUGAAUAUAUCCGCUAAUUGCUUAUCGAUGCGAACAUGCUUAAGAUCAAUGUCACCCUUAGCAACAUGAUCUCGAAUGAAAUGAUGAUGAACUUCAAUAUGCUUUGUUCGAGAAUGUUGUACAGGAUUAUGACCAAUUUUGAUAGCACUUUCAUUGUCACAAAGCAGGGGAACAUGUUUCACAUAGAUCCCAUAAUCUUUAAGAGUUUGGGUCAUCCAAAGUAAUUGAGCACAACAUGAACCAGCGGCAAUGUAUUCCGCUUCGGCGGUGGAUAAGGAUACCGAGUUUUGUUUCUUGGAAGACCAAGACACAAGAGAUCUACCAAGAAAUUGACAAGUACCCGAAGUGGACUUUCUAUCAACCUUAUCUCCGGCAUAAUCCGAGUCGGAAUAGACAACAAGAUCAAAAGAGGACCUCUUAGGAUACCAAAUGCCAAACUUUGGUGUAUGGAUUAAGUAUCUCACUAUCCUUUUCACGGCCUUAAGAUGACAUUCUUUAGGAGCAGCUUGAUAUCGUGCACACAUGCACACACUUAGCAUAAUAUCGGGACGUGAAGCACAUAGGUAUAGCAAUGAACCAAUCAUAGAGCGAUAAACCUUUUGAUCAACCGGUUCAUCAUCUUUGGUCAAAUCAUUAUGUCCACUAGUAGGCAUGGGUGUAGGCAUACCUUUUCAUUCUUGCAUAUUGAACUUCCUGAAUAAGUCCUUGGUGUACUUCAUUUGAGAGACAAAUGUACCUUCCUUAGUUUGCUUGAUUUGCAAACCGAGAAAGAAUUUGAGUUCACUCAUCAUAGACAUCUCAAACUUCUCUGACAUUAGCUUUCCAAACUUUUCACUAAAGAGAGGGUUAGUUGAACCAAAUAUGAUAUCAUCAACAUAAAUUUGGCAUACAAAUAGUUCUCCAUUAACCCUUUUAGUAAAAAGAGUAGAAUCAAUUUUACCAAUUUCAAAACCACUUGCAAUAAGGAACUUGGUCAAGCAUUUAUACCAUGCUCUAGGAGCUUGUUUAAGACCAUAAAGAGCUUUGUGAAGUUUGUAAACAUGAUUAGGUUUCUUAGGAUUGACAAAGCCGGGAGGUUGUUUGACAUAAACUUCCUCCUCUAUUUCACCAUUUAGAAAAGCACUUUUAAUGUCCAUUUGGUACAAGGUGAUAUUAUGGUGAUUAGCAUAGGCAAGUAAGAUGCGAAUGGACUCAAGUCUAGCAACGGGAGCAUAUGUCUCACCAUAGUCCAUACCUUCGACUUGUGUGUACCCUUGGGCAACGAGACGUACUUUGUUGUGAACCACUUGUCCAUCUUCAUCUUGCUUGUUGCGAAACACCCAUUUGGUACCAAUGAUGUUGUGGUUGUUGUCGGGCUUCUCAACCAAUGUCCAAACUUGGUUUCUCUCAAAGUUGUGUAGCUCUUCAUGCAUAGCGUUUAUCCAAUCCGGAUCUUCCAAUGCUUCUUCAACCUUCAUAGGUUCAAUGCUAGAAAUGAAUGAAUAGUUUUCACAAAAGUUAGCUAAACGAGUUUUUGAGCGAGUGAUUCUCCCGGUUUGUAUAUCAUUUAAGAUUUGCUCGACGGGAUGAUCUUUGGCAAUUCUUGCUCGAACUCGUGAGAGCUUUUGCUUGGGUAUUCGUUGAACAUCUUCUUCAUCUUGUUCUUCUUCUUGGCCUUCUUCAUUGUUGACGUUAUCGUUCUCUUGUCGUGGUGGAGAAGGAGGUUGUUGAUGUUCGUCUUGAUGCAUUUCCUUGUCUUCUUCAUCUUGGUGUGUCCCACUUGUGGAUGCUUCCAUGUCGAUUCUUGGUUCACCUUGUUGUGAAGUAGAAGCUUCCACUUGUAUGGACGAGGUACUCUCCUUCACCUCCGUUGGACGAAUUUUGCCAAUAGGCAAGUCUUGGAUUGCUUCUGAAGGGUCUUUGUCCCCUACAUCAAUUGGCAAUUACUCUACUUGCGAGCCAUUAGAUUCAUCAAACUUCACAUCUACCGUCUCAUCAACCUUUCGGGGUGAAAUUGUUGAGACACGGUAAGUGUGAGAGUUUGAGCCAUAACCAAGUAGAAAACCUUCAUGAGAUUUAGGAGCAAACUUUGAACGACGAUGCUUAUCAAGAAUGUAGCACUUUGAGCCGAAUACUCGAAAGUAUCCAACUUGGGGUUUGUUACCAGUGAGGAGCUCGUAUGCCGUCUUGCCGAGUAGCUUGUGAAGAUACAAGCGAUUUGUUGCAUGACAAGCUAUCUCAAUCGCUUCUGCCCAAAAGUGCUUCGGCGUCUUGUAUUCAUCAAGCAUCGUUCUUGCCAUUUCGAUGAGCGUCCGGUUCUUCCUCUCAACAACUCCAUUUUGUUGAGGUGUGUACGUAGCCGAGAACUCGUGUGAAAUCCCUUCUUCUUCAAGAAAGGUGUCCACAUUUGCGUUCUUGAACUCCGUUCCGUUGUCACUCCGAACCUUCUUGAUCUUCACGUCAAACUGAUUUUGGGCCUUCCUAGCGAAGUUUUUGAAGAUCUUCUGGACCUGCGACUUGUCAUUAAGAAAGAACACCCACGUAAAUCUUGAAAAAUCAUCAACUAUAACUAGACCAAAAGAAUUUCCACCGAGACUCUGUAGGCGUUGGGACCAAAAAGAUCCAUAUGAAGUAGCUCGAGUGGCCUCCUUGUGGUCAUGAUGUUCUUCACGGGAUGCCUUCCUCCAACCUGUUUACCUGCUUGACAAGCACUGCAAAGUCUAUCCUUAUCAAAUAUGACAUCGUUAACUCCAAGGAUAUGAUUUCCUUUAAUAAGCUUGUCAAGGUUUCUCAUGCCAACGUGACCUAGUCGUCUAUGCCACAACCAACCUUUUGAGGAUUUAGCAAUAAAGCAAGUUUUAGGUUGUGCCUUUUUAGAGAAAUCGACAAUGUAAAGAUCACCUCUAUGCAUACCGGUAAAGACCAUUUUAUGAUUGUCUCGACGAAAUACUUGGCAAUCUACCUCAGUAAAUAGGACAUUCAAACCGAAAUCAGCAAGUCUAGAUACUGAAAGUAAGUUGUAGCCGAGAGAUUCAACGAGCAUGACAUUUUGAAUGGAACUAUCAUGUGAGAUGGCCACCUUACCAAGGCCAACCACUUUACCCUUUGAAUUAUCACCAAAGGUGACAUAUUUCCGAGGACCGUCAUUUUCAGCAAGCUCACGGAACAUCUCUUCAUCUCCGGUCAUAUGAUCAGUACAUCCACUAUCAAGAACCCAUUCCUUUCCUCCUGACGCAUAUCCUCGAAGAUUUGCCGUAAGACCAAAGUGUCUCAUUGCAUCAUCAAGAUCGAAGUCACUAUCAUCAUCAUCACCAUGAUCUUGUGACUCAUCAUUUCCUAGAGAGGGUAAUUCAUUAGAUAAAUGAUCAUCAAAGUGGUCACUUUUAUGAAUUCUUAUAGCUUCGGAUAUAAUAUCACUAAUGAUUCCAACAUCUCCUUUAGCUCGCUUGAGAUUGGCAAGCUCAAAUAGACAAUCACCAAAACUAGGAUCACUAGAGUUCAUCUUACUCAAGGCAAUAGAGAAUUUCAUCCAAAUUUUUCAAGGAAUGAUCGGGAAAUUGUUCCUCAAGAAAUUUCCAUAUAGUAUAGGCACAAUUAAGAGUAGGCAAACUAGCAAUCAAAUUUUAGGACAAUCCUCUAAUGAUGAGCUCAAUAGUUCUAAGAUUGCGAAUCAUGUCAAUAUCUUCAUCUAGGGUAGGAUGCAAAGGAUCAAUAUGAGGUGCACAAGGGCUAGCAAUAUACUUGUUCAAAUGAUAUUGAUUGAAGAUUACAAGCAUCUCAUUUUUCCACUCAUGAAAAUAUUCUCCAUCAAGAAUAGGCACUCUAUGUCUAAGACUCCCUAAAGUAGACACAUCCAUCUUCCUCCAAUGGUGAUUAAACCCAGGCAAUGGAGACCAAAGCUCUGAUACCACUUAUAGGAUCUAGAAGUAGGUGUGUCUAGAGGGGGGUGAUUAGACACUUAGUGCUAAAGUUGCAAUUUUUAAUCUUUUUCAGUUUGAGUGGAGUUUUAGGCACAAUUUCAACAUACACAAUACAUAUCAAGCAAGCAUGCAAAGAGUAUAUGAGCAACGGAAUGUAAAGCAUGCAACUUGCAAGAAUGUAAGGGGAAGGGUUUGGAGAAUUCAAACGCAAUUGGAGACACGGAUGUUUUUCCCGUGGUUCAGAUAGGUGGUGAUAUCCUACAUCCACGUUGAUGGAGACUUCAACCCACGAAGGAUAACGGUUGCGCGAGUCCACGGAGGGCUCCACCCACGGAGGGUCCACGAAGAAGCAACCACCCACGAAGGGUAACGGUUGCGUGAGUCCACGGAGGGCUCCACCCACGAAGGAUCCACGAAGAAGCAACCUUGUCUAUCCCACCAUGGCCAUCGCCCACGAAGGACUUGCCUCACUAGCGGUAGAUCUUCACGAAGUAGGCGAUCUCCUUGCCCUUACAAACUCCUUGGUUCAACUCCACAAUCUUGUCGGAGGCUCCCAAGUGACACCUAGCCAAUCUAGGAGACACCACUCUCCAAGAAGUAACAAAUGGUGUGUUGAUGAUGAACUCCUUGCUCUUGUGCUUCAAAUGAUAGUCUCCCCAACACUCAACUCUCUCUCACAGGAUUUGGAUUUGGUGGAAAGAAGAUUUGAGUGGAAAGCAACUUGGGAAAGGCUAGAGAUCAAGAUUCAUAUGGUAGGAAUGGAAUAUCUUGGCCUCAACACAUGAGUAGGUGGUUCUUUCUCAGAACAUAUGAGUUGGAAGUGUAGAUGUGUUCUGAUGGCUCUCUCCAUGAAUGAAGAGGAGGUGGAGGGGUAUAUAUAGCCUCCACACAAAAUCCAACCGUUACACACAAUUUACCAAUCUCGGUGGGACCGAAUCAACAAACUCGGUCAGACCGAAAUAGUAAACCUAGUGACCGUUAGAGAUUUUCGGUGGGACCGACUGGAUCAACUCGGUGGGACCGAUGUGCUAGGGUUAGGGUAAAUCAAAAACUCGGUUUGACCGAUUACUCAAACUCGGUGGGACCGAUUUGGGUAAUAAGCAAAACAGAGAGUUGGCCAAGCAAACUCGGUGGGGCCGAUUGCAUAUCUCGGUGGGACCAAAAAUAUUACAAUAGGUAACAGAGAGUUUGCAAGCCCAUCUCGGUGAGACCGAGAUCCCAUCGGUGAGACCGAACUGAUUAGGGUUUCUGGCAGUGGCUAUGACAAGUGAAACUCGGUGGCGCCGGAUAGAAAGAAUCGGUAGGUCCGAGUUUGGCUCUGGGUUUAGGUCAUAUGAGGAAGUGGGAAAGUAGCUGAGGGUUUUGGAGCAUAUCAUUAAGCACAUGAAGCAAGAGGCUCAUUAAGCAACACCUCAUCCCUCCUUGAUAGUAUUGGCUUUUCCUAUGGACUCAAUGUGAUAUUGGAUCACUAAAAUGUAAAAUGAAGAGUCUUGAGCUUUAAGCUUUAGCCAAUCCUUUGUCCUUAGCAUCUUGGAGAACUUCCCACAACCUUUAGUCCAUGCCACUCCAUUGUUGAACUUAUCUGAAACAUACUAGAUAGAAAUAUUAGUCCAACAAGAGAUAUGUUGUCAUUAAUUACCAAAACCACCUAGGGAGCACUUGUGCUUUCACCUGGCGAAAGCUGGACAGGGUUUUCUCCCAGCAAGCACAAUCCGCUUUCGACUAGGGUGCGAUUACUCAUGAAAACAUAUGCUGCACCACGUCAUGGAAUGUUAGGCACCAUCCACCAUGUCGCCCCAAUGGACAUGGUAGCUAGCUCGCAACUGAGCCGUCAGCUCAGCCCACGGGCACCACGACUCCCACCACCAAGGCCGCCUCCCUGGAGACAAGGCACCCUAGAGCAUCCAUAGCCAUGGGCGAAGCAUCAAUUGGCACACCCAGACCAUCGACAGAGCCACAAACUAUCAGCUUGUCCAUAUCGUCCAGGGACAGGAGCAACUAGGCCAAGAAGAGGUGAAAGUGCGGGAGGGGACCUCGUCCACGACUGACACCCUCUUCACCGGCGAUGGGUGGCAUGACCUCAUCGGAUCCAUCCAACCCUCCCACCACCUCUCCACACACAACCCCUGUGACGCCCCACCAUGGCCCCAUGCCUGAUUCGAUGUGGAAAGCUCCAGCCACCCGCCUACUGAUGCGAGGUACGGACCAGCCACACCACAGUUGCCGCAGACGGACUCUAGGAGUGCCCACUUGAGCCGGCAACCAAUGCGCCAAUGUUAGUCCAACUGCCACCACGACGUUACCCGCCAAAUCACCAUGGUCAUCACGAUGUCGACAUGUCAACAAACAUCGUGAGAGGCCAUCGCUCGUUUUCAUAGACCACCCCAGCAAACCAGACGGGGCCACUGCCACCAUGCUGCGCCACUAACCGUCCCCUAGGUUCCAGAUCCAACGGAUUUGGCUGGGAUGCAGCCAACAUGCUGAUGCCCAAGUCAUCGUCGCGCCACCACCAAACGCUCACGCAACCACGUCACUUCGUCCCUUUGGUAGCGCAACGUCGUUGCUCAACCAACCGCCCAGCACCAGCCGCUGGGGAAUGAGUGAAAGGGAAGAAAGACCCCACCACCGUCAUCAUUGGUCAGGCUCUCGACAACGGCAGAGGAGGAGGGAAGGAAGGGGAGAGAGGUUUGUUGGAGGUCACUCACGGGAGGGAGCCCCAACGACGCCUCUCAACAACGAACGGGGAUGAGGGUAGGAAGAGGAGGGAGGUUUGUUGCCAAGCUAGGGUUUCCUCCCGGCCGGUCAUAGGAGGGAGGCCCGACGACCCCUCUUGGUGGCAACGGGGAAGAAGGGAAGGAAGGAAAUGGAGGUUUGGUGGCAAGCUAGAGUCCCAUACCCCCCGUCGCUCAUGGGAUGAAAGGAAGGGGGGAUUCCUGCCACCACAACUAAUUUUGUACCAUCUGCAUCCAUCAGUUUAAUAAACUGUCAUGAUCAACGAUCAAUUUUUGAACACAAUACAAGCUGAGCGGCCCAUAUACACGCACAUACACUCAUCCUAUAAACGCACGCACGCACAUCCUAUCCCUAUGAAUACCUCCGAGACAUUAAGCCGACACAACAUCUUGAGAUUGACGGCCAUCACAUACGUCUCGUAGUAUUAAUACCCACGAAACGACAUAAACCUGCAUCAUUCAUUAUGCAAGCUUAAAAGUGGAAAUGCAAGGAAUCCAAGGAAGAUAUCGGGUGCUACCGGCCUCUUAGGUGAUACCGUGAUAUGGGCUUCUAAGAGCGUUUAGAUCUCAGAUCCGACGACUCCCAGAAGGUCUUGAACAUUCUGCAAAAAAAGUCAUCCGAGAAUCUCAAAAUUACGCACAUGUACAACAACUCAUCAGUUGCGGUCGAAUAUAUUCGCGAAAAAAAAAGAGAGUUGCGGUCGAAUUUGAGACCCGGUAGGCCUGAUAUUUCCCCAAGGAGUCCAUCAACCAGACGCCGCCGACUGCGUGCGUCGGAGAGCCGGAGACCCAACCGUCUUCCUCCCCACGCAUUAAUAAGCCCUCGCCUUAAAUCGCCCCUCCCAACCGUCUUCCUCCCCAGCUUUCCGACGGCAUCCAUCCCGGAACGGAAAACACCAACCUGCUUUCCACCUAUAAAAUCCGCCCUUCCCCACCCCAAAUCCCACAACAGCAAACCAAAUCCCCAAGACCAAAAAAGGCCCCAGCAACCCGAGCGCGUCGACCCCAUCCACAACAGUUGAAUCUGAGUUUACUUCCAGGAAAGAUUUGAGUCGAGAUGGCGCAGGCGAUCGAGGCUCAGAGGGAGGGCGCGGAGGUGUACCACGGCGCGGCGCUGUGCGCGGAGAAGGCGGUGGAGCUGCUGGCGGAGACCAACAUGCCGCUGGGCCUGCUGCCGCUGGCGGAUAUCGAGGAGGUGGGCUACAACCGCGCCACCGGCUUCGUCUGGCUGCGCCAGAAGAAGGCGCUCACGCACACCUUCAAGCAGAUCGGGCGGCAGGUCUCGUACGGCACCGAGGUGACGGCCUUCGUCGAGGACCGCAAGAUGAAGCGCAUGACCGGGGUCAAGAGCAAGGAGCUCCUCAUCUGGAUCACCCUCUGCGACAUGUACAUCGACAAGGACGACCCCUCCAAGAUCACCUUCAAGACGCCCACCGGGCUCGGGAGGACCUUCCCCGUCUCCGCCUUCGAGAAGGAGGACUGCGGCAAGGCCAAGGCCGCAGCCGGCGGCGGCAAGGAGGCCCUCGUGGCCAAGUAAGUGACGACGGCCGGCAUACUACAGAGCUUGGAUGAAAAGUACUCAAAAGUCCAACGUUAACUACGACUACUAUUUGCUUUCACCUGUUUUAAUAAACUACAGUGCUAUAUAUACUCUGCUCCGGUGUUCUGCCGAGGGUUGUAUCGUUCAUAUGAUCGUGCGAUGAUAUGAUCUUAUAGUACUAUACUGUGUGCUGUUCGCUGCAUAAUGGUGUGAACCUUUUUGUGGCAGUGUCACGAGGUGUACGUGACUACGUGUUCUCCGAUUUUAUUUUAGGCAUGAAAAGCUUCUCUCCUUCUGCACAGACAAAGGGACGAUUCUGGUCUCCUGCUAUUUAAU
rnacentral:lncRNA from 1 species